rnacentral:rRNA from 1 species
AGCCAGACUCCUACGGGAGGCAGCAGUGGGGGAUAUUGCACAAUGGGGGAAACCCUGAUGCAGCGACGCCGCGUGAAGGAAGAAGUAUUUCGGUAUGUAAACUUCUAUCAGCAGGGAAGAAAAUGACGGUACCUGACUAAGAAGCCCCGGCUAACUACGUGCCAGCAGCCGCGGUAAUACGUAGGGGGCAAGCGUUAUCCGGAUUUACUGGGUGUAAAGGGAGCGUAGGCGGCGAUGCAAGUCAGAAGUGAAAGCCCGGGGCUCAACUCCGGGACUGCUCUGGAAACUGUGAAGCUGGAGUGCAGGAGAGGUAAGCGGAAUUCCUGGUGUAGCGGUGAAAUGCGUAGAUAUCAGGAGGAACACCGGCGGCGAAGGCGGCUUACUGGACUGUAACUGACGUUGAGGCUCGAAGGCGUGGGGAGCAAACAGGAUUAGAUACCCGAGUA